GACGAACGCUGGCGGCGUGCCUAACACAUGCAAGUCGAACGGGGCUCUUUGGAUCGAGACUUCGGUCAAGUGAAUCUGAGCUUAGUGGCGGACGGGUGAGUAACGCGUGAGCAACCUGCCUUUCAGAGGGGGACAACAGUUGGAAACGACUGCUAAUACCGCAUAAUGUGUUUUGGGGGCAUCCCCGAAAUACCAAAGAUUUAUCGCUGAAAGAUGGGCUCGCGUCUGAUUAGCUAGUUGGUGGGGUAACGGCUCACCAAGGCGACGAUCAGUAGCCGACCUGAGAGGGUGACCGGCCACAUUGGGACUGAGACACGGCCCAA
rnacentral:rRNA from 1 species